rnacentral:piRNA from 1 species
AGAAAAAGGUGACCAUAGCAGCUUCC